rnacentral:rRNA from 1 species
GCUUACGGCCAUAUCAGCCUGGGUACGCCCGAUCUCGUCUGAUCUCGGAAGCUAAGCAGGGUCGGGCCUGGCUAGUACUUGGAUGUGAGACGGCCUGGGAAUACCAGGUGCUGUAAGCA